UCCCUCGGCCGGGACGCAGCGCGCAGCGUUUGAAUCGCGGCGCCAUUUUGUCCCUUCCCUACGCACCUCCCGGCUGGGGGGCUCCGGCGGGGAACUGCCCGCAAGAUUCUUCCCGAGGGAUACGGGGAGCUUGGAGCCUUCAGCGGGGACUCUGAGGAUCUCCCUGAGGGGCAGCGUGUCUCCGCCGACUCGCUUGGAAAGUUUUUUUUCCCUUCUCUCUCCUGCCCCCCCCCCCCCCCCCCCCCAUGACAGAGCGGCCCCAUCGGCGCUGCCUUCCCACCGCGGGCUCCGUGAGGGGAACGGGGCAGCGCUCUCGGCAAGGUCGUUGCUCCCCGGUUCUCCUCAGCCCAGCCAGGCUACAGCCCCCGGGGAUCUGUGGGUCCUCUGGAAUGGGAUCACCCGAGGGAAGAGGUCCUGGAUAAAUCCCAUCUCUGAUAGAGCUAUGCCAAGUAUCCACUCUUCUCCUUGACUUUUCCAUAAUCAACUGAAGCAUUUGGAAUAUGAGGAGCAAUUAGAAGAAGCUGAUAAACAUGAUGACAGCAAUCUCAACAGCAAAACUUCUUAACACCAGAGGAGUUUUAUGUCAUAGGGAACUGCUUUCUGUCUUG